rnacentral:rRNA from 1 species
CAAGAUGUAUUUAAAAACACCUCCAAGAUGAUCUUAGCAGCCCCGACUAAUUAAACUCCACGAAAGCUAGGACACAAACUGGGAUUAGAUACCCCACUAUGCCUAGCCCUAAAUCUUGAUACCUUCCAUCACCAAAGUAUCCGCCUGAGAACUACGAGCACAAACGCUUAAAACUCUAAGGACUUGGCGGUGCCCCAGACCCACCUAGAGGAGCCUGUUCUAUAAUCGAUAACCCACGAUGCACCCGACCACUCCUUGCCAAAGCAGCCUAUAUACCGCCGUCGCCAGCUCACCUCGCCUGAAAGAACAACAGUGAGCAUAAUAGCCCCAACCCCGCUAACAAGACAGGUCAAGGUAUAGCCUAUGGGGUGGAAGAAAUGGGCUACAUUUUCUAAAAUAGAUAACCUCACGGAAAGGGACAUGAAAUUGCCCCUGGAAGGCGGAUUUAGCAGUAAGGUGGGACAAUAAAGCCCACUUUAAGCCGGCUCUGAGGUACGUACAUACCGCCCGUCACCCUCCUCACAAGCUACGUAUAACAUAUAACUAAUACCCUUCCCCCGGCUGAAGAUGAGGUAAGUCGUAACAAGGUAAGUGUACCGGAAGGUGCACUUAGCAUAU